rnacentral:ncRNA from 2 species
GUAGGUGAACCUGCGGACGGAUCAUUA